rnacentral:tRNA from 1 species
GCUGCGGUGGCCUAGUUGGUGAGGGCGCCAGACUCAUAAUCUGGAGGUCGUGGGUUCGGAUCCCACCCGCAGCA